rnacentral:rRNA from 1 species
GAUGAACGCUGGCGGCGUGCCUAAUACAUGCAAGUCGAGCGAACGGACGAGAAGCUUGCUUCUCUGAUGUUAGCGGCGGACGGGCGAGUAACACGUGGAUAACCUACCUAUAAGACUGGGAUAACUUCGGGAAACCGGAGCUAAUACCGGAUAAUAUUUUGAACCGCAUUGUUCAAAAGUGAAAGACGGUCUUGCUGUCACUUAUAGAUGGAUCCGCGCUGCAUUAGCUAGUUGGUAAGGUAACGGCUUACCAAGGCAACGAUGCAUAGCCGACCUGAGAGGGUGAUCGGCCAAACUGGAACUGAGACACGGUCCAGACUCCUACGGGAGGCAGCAGUAGGGAAUCUUCCGCAAUGGGCGAAAGCCUGACGGAGCAACGCCGCGUGAGUGAUGAAGGUCUUCGGAUCGUAAAACUCUGUUAUUAGGGAAGAACAUAUGUGUAAGUAACUGUGCACAUCUUGACGGUACCUAAUCAGAAAGCCACGGCUAACUACGUG